GGGUUGUGAGGUUAAGCGACUAAGCGUACACGGUGGAUGCCCUGGCAGUCAGAGGCGAUGAAGGGCGUGCUAAUCUGCGAUAAGCGCCGGUAAGGUGAUAUGAACCGUUAUAACCGGCGAUACCCGAAUGGGGAAACCCAGUGUGUUUCGACACACUAUCAUUAACUGAAUCCAUAGGUUAAUGAGGCGAACCGGGGGAACUGAAACAUCUAAGUACCCCGAGGAAAAGAAAUCAACCGAGAUUCCCCCAGUAGCGGCGAGCGAACGGGGAGGAGCCCAGAGCCUGAAUCAGCAUGUGUGUUAGUGGAAGCGUCUGGAAAGGCGCGCGAUACAGGGUGACAGCCCCGUACACAAAAGCGCAUGUGCUGUGAGCUCGAUGAGUAGGGCGGGACACGUGGUAUCCUGUCUGAAUAUGGGGGGACCAUCCUCCAAGGCUAAAUACUCCUGACUGACCGAUAGUGAACCAGUACCGUGAGGGAAAGGCGAAAAGAACCCCGGCGAGGGGAGUGAAAAAGAACCUGAAACCGUGUACGUACAAGCAGUGGGAGCACCCUUCGGGGUGUGACUGCGUACCUUUUGUAUAAUGGGUCAGCGACUUAUAUUCUGUAGCAAGGUUAACCGUAUAGGGGAGCCGGAGGGAAACCGAGUCUUAACCGGGCGUUAAGUUGCAGGGUAUAGACCCGAAACCCGGUGAUCUAGCCAUGGGCAGGUUGAAGGUUGGGUAACACUAACUGGAGGACCGAACCGACUAAUGUUGAAAAAUUAGCGGAUGACCUGUGGCUGGGGGUGAAAGGCCAAUCAAACCGGGAGAUAGCUGGUUCUCCCCGAAAGCUAUUUAGGUAGCGCCUCGUGAAUUCAUCUCCGGGGGUAGAGCACUGUUUCGGCUAGGGGGCCAUCCCGGCUUACCAACCCGAUGCAAACUGCGAAUACCGGAGAAUGUUAUCACGGGAGACACACGGCGGGUGCUAACGUCCGUCGUGAAGAGGGAAACAACCCAGACCGCCAGCUAAGGUCCCAAAGUCAUGGUUAAGUGGGAAACGAUGUGGGAAGGCCCAGACAGCCAGGAUGUUGGCUUAGAAGCAGCCAUCAUUUAAAGAAAGCGUAAUAGCUCACUGGUCGAGUCGGCCUGCGCGGAAGAUGUAACGGGGCUAAACCAUGCACCGAAGCUGCGGCAGCGAACGUAUCACUUAAAGCGAUUCAGCGGGUUACGAUUGACGGAGCGAAGCGACGUCAAAGCGUAUACAAAGUCGAGUCGGUUUAAGGAUACGUUCGUUGGGUAGGGGAGCGUUCUGUAAGCCUGUGAAGGUGGCCUGUGAGGGUUGCUGGAGGUAUCAGAAGUGCGAAUGCUGACAUAAGUAACGAUAAAGCGGGUGAAAAGCCCGCUCGCCGGAAGACCAAGGGUUCCUGUCCAACGUUAAUCGGGGCAGGGUGAGUCGACCCCUAAGGCGAGGCCGAAAGGCGUAGUCGAUGGGAAACGGGUUAAUAUUCCCGUACUUGGUGUUACUGCGAAGGGGGGACGGAGAAGGCUAUGUUGGCCGGGCGACGGUUGUCCCGGUUUAAGCGUGUAGGUGUGUGUUCCAGGUAAAUCCGGUUCACUUUAACACUGAGGCGUGACGACGAGGCACUACGGUGCUGAAGCAACAAAUGCCCUGCUUCCAGGAAAAGCCUCUAAGCAUCAGGUAACAUCAAAUCGUACCCCAAACCGACACAGGUGGUCAGGUAGAGAAUACCAAGGCGCUUGAGAGAACUCGGGUGAAGGAACUAGGCAAAAUGGUGCCGUAACUUCGGGAGAAGGCACGCUGACACGUAGGUGAAGUGAUUUACUCACGGAGCUGAAGUCAGUCGAAGAUACCAGCUGGCUGCAACUGUUUAUUAAAAACACAGCACUGUGCAAACACGAAAGUGGACGUAUACGGUGUGACGCCUGCCCGGUGCCGGAAGGUUAAUUGAUGGGGUCAGCGCAAGCGAAGCUCCUGAUCGAAGCCCCGGUAAACGGCGGCCGUAACUAUAACGGUCCUAAGGUAGCGAAAUUCCUUGUCGGGUAAGUUCCGACCUGCACGAAUGGCGUAAUGAUGGCCAGGCUGUCUCCACCCGAGACUCAGUGAAAUUGAACUCGCUGUGAAGAUGCAGUGUACCCGCGGCAAGACGGAAAGACCCCGUGAACCUUUACUAUAGCUUGACACUGAACAUUGAGCCUUGAUGUGUAGGAUAGGUGGGAGGCUUUGAAGUGUGGACGCCAGUCUGCAUGGAGCCGACCUUGAAAUACCACCCUUUAAUGUUUGAUGUUCUAACGUGGACCCGUAAUCCGGGUUGCGGACAGUGUCUGGUGGGUAGUUUGACUGGGGCGGUCUCCUCCUAAAGAGUAACGGAGGAGCACGAAGGUUGGCUAAUCCUGGUCGGACAUCAGGAGGUUAGUGCAAUGGCAUAAGCCAGCUUGACUGCGAGCGUGACGGCGCGAGCAGGUGCGAAAGCAGGUCAUAGUGAUCCGGUGGUUCUGAAUGGAAGGGCCAUCGCUCAACGGAUAAAAGGUACUCCGGGGAUAACAGGCUGAUACCGCCCAAGAGUUCAUAUCGACGGCGGUGUUUGGCACCUCGAUGUCGGCUCAUCACAUCCUGGGGCUGAAGUAGGUCCCAAGGGUAUGGCUGUUCGCCAUUUAAAGUGGUACGCGAGCUGGGUUUAGAACGUCGUGAGACAGUUCGGUCCCUAUCUGCCGUGGGCGCUGGAGAACUGAGGGGGGCUGCUCCUAGUACGAGAGGACCGGAGUGGACGCAUCACUGGUGUUCGGGUUGUCAUGCCAAUGGCACUGCCCGGUAGCUAAAUGCGGAAGAGAUAAGUGCUGAAAGCAUCUAAGCACGAAACUUGCCCCGAGAUGAGUUCUCCCUGAGACUUUAGGUCUCCUGAAGGAACGUUGAAGACGACGACGUUGAUAGGCCGGGUGUGUAAGCGCAGCGAUGCGUUGAGCUAACCGGUACUAAUGAACCGUGAGGCUUAACCUUACAACGCCGAAG
rnacentral:rRNA from 2 species